AUUGAACGCUGGCGGCAUGCUUUACACAUGCAAGUCGAACGGUAACAGGCCGCAAGGUGCUGACGAGUGGCGAACGGGUGAGUAAUGCAUCGGAACGUGCCCAGUCGUGGGGGAUAACGCAGCGAAAGCUGCGCUAAUACCGCAUACGAUCUAUGGAUGAAAGCGGGGGACCGUAAGGCCUCGCGCGAUUGGAGCGGCCGAUGUCAGAUUAGGUAGUUGGUGGGGUAAAGGCUCACCAAGCCAACGAUCUGUAGCUGGUCUGAGAGGACGACCAGCCACACUGGGACUGAGACACGGCCCAGACUCCUACGGGAGGCAGCAGUGGGGAAUUUUGGACAAUGGGCGCAAGCCUGAUCCAGCAAUGCCGCGUGCAGGAAGAAGGCCUUCGGGUUGUAAACUGCUUUUGUACGGAACGAAACGGCUCUCACUAAUACUGGGGGCUAAUGACGGUACCGUAAGAAUAAGCACCGGCUAACUACGUGCCAGCAGCCGCCGCCGUAA
rnacentral:rRNA from 1 species